GUGAGACUGUGAAUUCUUCAAAAGCAGGUACUGUGUUUAAUGAAGUGUGCCCAGGACUUUGCUCAGUGACUGGAUGACACAGUAGGAGUAACAAGAAAGUUCACAUGGGUGAACCGUGGUAGGUGGACAUCGUCUCUCUCACCUCUUCCCAAAUCAAGGAUGAAGUACAUCUUCAUAAAUCCUCAUGUGAAUUAUUUUGCUACCUCUAGAAGCAUUUUCUAAAACAAGGUGCAGCAAUCAGUUGAGUGAAUUUGUCACCAGAGCUUAUGUUUUCUGAAAGAACCCUAUCCUCAGGCAGUUGUUCCUAAGAGGUGAGUUGUGGAUUUAGUUCACAUACCUUCCUUCGUGGCUUAAAAUGCUCCACAUGCCUGUCUCCCCAACAGCAUCAGAUCACCAUGCAGUAAAAUACCAAGUCAGAACAGCCAAUGCUGAAAAGAGUGACAGUUUCCUUUCAUGAUGCAAUGCACUUGGAGCCAGGGGACAGGGAGACAAUAACUGCAAGGAGAAGUGAUGACAACCCUACUUUAAUAUAGUAGUUCCUUUUGAAUUUUAUAGACUUACCCGUUAAUCUCUAGAAUUUUGAAAAAAUUCCUUAAGUGAUGUGAGCAAAUAACACUUUGCCUUGGGUUAGCCUUUUCCUUUCCCUUGAAGAUUCCACAAAUAUGUCAGCGCUGGAAAUGAUCCUUUGGCUUUGAACUAUGUGAAGACUGCAGAAGGACUGGUUGGUAAGCACCCACAUCCUGGGGUGAGAAUCACAUCCAGUUUAUACCUCCCUGUGCACACUUGUAUAAAACAACUAUAAGACACACGAGAGAUCUGGAAGCCAGUUCCUCAUAAGUAAGAAUUGGUCAGGCUGCAUUUGUAUCCUGGGUCCACAAGACAUCGUUUCCUUAAAACCAAUCCCCCUGAUUUUGCUAAGUGUCUGCAAGCCUAAUAUUUCAUGGAUGUUUGACAAGGACCCCGUCUUUAGCUGAACUAAGGAGAAAGUCCUGCAACACACACAUGGAGCUCAGCAAACGGAGGAUGUAAACAAAGACAAAACCGGGCCCUUCCACACAGUAGCUGGAACACAAAGGAAGAUCAGCCAAGCCUCAACAUAAUCUCAUAAAAAUUCUUCAAAUAUCCCAUUGUUAUGGAUUCAUACAUCAGGAAAGCAGAUGCCAAGAACCUGAACACCUUCUACUGGUAACAUAUAUUUUGGCGAGCCAGCCUGGAGACAAGACCACUAUGGGCAACUUCCUGUCUAUUCUACCUGGUGUCACUGUGGACAACUUCCUAUCUAUUCCACCCGAUUCACCGCUUGGCUACAUCCUCCACCAUUGGGAUGAAUUUGACCCUAACAAUCUAAAGAAAAGGCAUAUGAUUUUUUACUGCAAUAUUGUUUGACACAAUUAUGAGCUGCCCAAUCCGGAACAAUGGGCAGUCAAUGGUAGCCUUAAUUAUGAUACCAUCCUGUAUCUAGACCUAUUUUACAAGAGGCAGGGCAAAUGGUCAGAAGUCCCACAUAUACAGGCCUACAUGACCCUAUACGAAGACCUAAGAAUCUAGGAAACUCCCAGAACCCAUCCCCCGAAGGAAAGUUCUGGGGCAGAACUAGAUAUUAUAGAUGAACCCCCUUUUACAAGGGAUACCUGUCUCUCAGAGUGAGCAGUGACUGUCCCCAUAUAACCCCUCACCAAGUGCUCCUGAGGCUGAAACCCAGGGGCAAACAUGGGGAACCCUACUAAGUCCCCCUCACACUUGGAGGGGAACACUGUAUUCAACUCUCUAUCCAGCCCUGCUACUCUCAGAGAAAUAGCAGGGGCUGAGGGGCCAAUCCUAGUGUGGGUCCCCUUCUCUAUGAUUGAUAUACAACAAUGUAAGGAAAAGCUAGGAAGCUAUUCUGAGGAUUCCGGGAAGUUUGCAGAUGGGUUCCAAACUUUGACCUUAGCCUUUGAUCUCUCAUGGAGAGACGUUCAAUUCACUCUAGCAACCUGUUGCACCUCCUCGGAAAAGGAACGAAUCUUUGAGGCUGCCCUCCGAGAAGUGGACGAAUUAUUCACCCAAAACCGUAAAGGCAGUCACCCAGGCCCAGCCACAGUUCCCACUACGCAUCCUAAUUGAGACCAAGACACCCCCGCAGGAAGGAACAACUGGGCUAAAUUUCUUGAGGCUCUUGGAGGAAUGAGAAAGGGAAUAACUAAGGCAGUAAAUUAUGAUAAAGUAAGGCAGAUUACACAAGGCAGGGAGGAAAACCCAGCUGUGUUUUACGGCAGGCUGCGGGAAGCCUUUAAAAAAUAUAUACUAAUUUGGUCCCUUCCUCUCCUGAAGGCAAGUUAUUAAUGGCACAACGUUUCAUUAGCCAAUCCACACCAGACAUUAGACGUAAGCUCCAAAAGCUACACAUGGGGCCACAAACUAACCAAAAUCAGCUUCUUGGUACUGCCUUCAUGGUGUAUAACAAUCGUGACCUGGAGGAAGGAGAAGGGAAACAGAGUAAAGAAAAACGGCAAGCCAAAAUUAUGUUAGCCAUCACUGGUGAUGCCCUAAAUGCACAAAGAUUGUCCAAGGGAAACUCAAAGGGCCAUAAGGAUAAUGCCAGCAAAGGCUCUUGCUUCAAAUGCAAUAAAAGUGCGAUUGGGCACAGGAAUCCACUAAGCCCCCGCCAGUCCCCUGCCGUCAAUGUAAAAGCACCAGUUGUGGCUCCUGGCCCUGGAGAAUUGACUGUCCCUGCUCCCACCAAGGGGCUCAGUCAGUCAAAACUCUGGCAGUGCACAAGGAGGAAUCAGAUGAAGACUGAAGGGGCCUGGGGCCUUCCUCACUGCCCCGUCUAGGAACAUUGUAAUUACUACUGAGGAACCCUGGGUAACUCUGGACAUCAUGGCCACCCAAAUUCAGUUUUUAUGUGAUACCAAGGUGAAUUAUUCUGUACAACUGCUUAUGCAGGAAAACUUUCCUCCCGGUCCAUGAGUGAUAUUGGAUGGAAGGGAAGCCACAAACAAGAUUCUUACUCCUCCUUUGGUUUGUCAAUUUGAGAAACAAAUCUUCCAACAGGAAUUUUUAGUAGUACCAAGCUGCCCAAUUCCCCUGUGGGAAAGAGAUAUUAUGGUGAAAAUAGUGACACUACUGCAAUUUAAGCAAUAUUAGCAGGUGAAACUGCUAAUAGUAAGAAAUAAGGCAAUGUCCCAGACCAUGUCAAUAAACAGGUUAACCCACUGGCAUGGUAUACUGGAAACCCAGGGAAGGCUAAAACAGCAGUGCCAGUCAAAAUACAGCUUAAAGACCCCAGCCAUUUUCCCAAUGGAAAACAAUACCCAGUUGAACAGGAAGCAAGCAAAGGUCUAGCUCCCAUAGUUGAGAUAUUACUUACCCAUGGACUCUUAAAACCCUGCAAUUCUCCCUGCAAUACCCCCAUCUUACCUGUUCUCAAGCCUGGGGGGAAUACCAGCUAGUACAGAACCUCAGAAUAAUGAAUGAGGCUGUUAUCCCCGUCCACCCAUUGGUGGCAGAUCCAUAUGCCCUCCUGGCUCAGGUGCCAGGGCAUGCAAAAUGGUUCUCAGUCCUAGACCUUUCUUCUCCAUUCCUCUGGCCCCGAGCCCCCCAGUACCUUUUUGCUUUCGAAUGGGAAAAUCCUAAUACCAGAUAAAAACAAUACACUUGGACAGUGCUUCCUCAGGGCUUUCGGGAUAGCCCCCACUUCUUUGCCUGAGCAUUAGAGCGGGAUCUGAGGGAUUUCAAGUUAGAAAAUGGAGGUAUUCUUCAGUAUGGGGAUGACCUUGUGUGUAGCCCAACCUAGGAGGUUUCUGACCAAAAUACUAUAAAAACUUUGAAUUUCCUGGCAGACAGAGGAUACAAAGUGUCCAAAAAGAAGGCUCAGAUUACCCUCCAAUGGGUCCACUAUUUAGGAUAUGUCUUAACACCCGGAACCCGGCAAAUAUCCCCAGAAGGAGUGCAAGCUAUAUGUGGUUUGGCCGCGUGCACCACCCCCAGCCCCCACCCUGACCCACCUCCAAGCAGCAGCUUUGUUCCUUUUUGGGGAUGGCCGGGCUUUGGAGAAUAUGAGUACCAAAUUUUGGGCUCAUAGCAAAGCCCCUAUAUGAAGCAACAAGGGGGCCUGAAAAUGAGCUAAUGGAAUGGACCCCGGAAAUGAGGAAAGCCUUUGCCAAGUUAAAACAGGUUCUCACCCAGGCUCCUGCUCUUGGUAUCCCAGACCUAAUUAAGGCCUUCUCCUUGUAUGUAGCAGAGAAGAGGGGCAUAGCUGUGGGAGUGCUAGCCCAGAAAUUAGGAUCAGAACCCAGACCAACCGCCUACUUCUCAAAAAAGUUGGACGGAGUGGCCUCAGGAUGGCCAAGUUGCCUGCGGGCAAUAGCAGCCACUGCUGUUAGUGGAGGAAGCCACUAAAAUCACCCUAGGGCAACCACUGGAAGUUCUAACGCUCCAUCAGGUAAAGUUAGUCUUAGAAAUAAAGGGACACAUCUGGAUGACAGGGGAAAUGUUAACUAAAUACCAGCCCAUGCUCCUAGACAAUCCAGAUAUAACUCUUAAAACCUGCAACACUUUAAAUCCAGCUUCAUUGCUGCCCACAGGCCCAAUAAUUGAUCAUUCCUGUGAGCAGGUCAUUGCACAUACAUAUGUUAGCCAGCCUGAUUUAAAAGAUGAGGCUCUCCCAGAUUCUGAAGCUGACCGGCUCACAGACGGCAGUAGUUCUUUGUCGAAUGGGGAGCACAGAGCUGGAUAUGCAGCAGUAAAUCAUGACACAAUUAUUGAAGCCCAGCCAGUGCCCCCUGGCACAUCAGCACAAAAGGCUAAAAUCAUUGAUCUUACUCAAGCAUUAAUGUUGGGACAAGGGAAAAAACUUAACAUCUAUACAGAUUCUAAAUAUGCAUUCCUUGUGGUUCAUGCUCAUACCGCCAUCAGGAAAGAAAGGGGAUUACUUACUAGCAAGCACUCCCCUAUAGAGCAUGGACCUGAAAUUCUGCAGCUAUUGAAGGCAAUACACCUGCCAAAGGCCAUAGCUAUCAUUCAUUGUAGGGGGCAUCAAAGGGACUUAACCCCUAUAGCACAAGGGAAUGGAAAGGCUGACGGAAGCCAAAGCAAAAGCCCUCAGCGUGCAAUCCCAACAGAUCCUAGCACUGCUUCCUUUCUACAAUUCCCCAGUAGAACCCAAAUACACACCACAGGAAGAACAGCUAAUAAAAAAAGCAAGGGAGACAAAAACAAGGAUCCUGGUGGCAUAUGGAGCCAAAAAUAUAUCUCCCUCAGGCAGCCCAGUGGAGAGUUAUAAAAGCCCUGCAUGACUCUUUCCAUGUGGGGAGGGAUGCGGCUCUGGCCAUGGUAAACAAGUUCUUUACUGGGUUUAACUCAGCUUCAAUGGCUAAGCAGGUCUGUCAAGCCUGCUCACUGUGUGCAUUUAACAAUCCAGGCAUCAAAAUGCCCCCUCUAAUAAAACCAGUCCAAAGGAGGGGAACUUAUCCAGGGGAAGACUGGCAGUUAGACGUCAUCCAUAUGCCAGCUUGCAGAGGAUACAAGCUUUUGUUAAUACUAAUAGAUACUUUUAGGUUGGGUCAAAGGUUACCCCAGAAAAGGCUAAUGAGGUUCUAAGGUCCUCUUAAAAGAAAUAAUUCCCCAGUUUGGGUUACCUCAGGGUCUCCAAAGUGAUAAUGGCUAAUCCUUUAUCUCCCAAAUAACUCAAGGGGUUGCUAAGGCUCUUGGAAUAAAAUACUAUUUACAUUCAGCCUGGAGGCCCCAAUCCUCUGGAAAAGUGGAAAGGGUUAACCAAACUCUAAAAUAAGCACUAGCUAAACUAUGUCAGGAAACAUCAGAAACUUGGGUUAGCUUAUUGCUCACAGCCCUUUUAAGAAUUUGUAAUACCCCUAGCUCAAAAAUUAACAGAAGCCCAUAUAAAAUGUUAUACAGAAGGCCAUUCUUAACUAAUGAUUUAAUUAUUGACCCAGAAAGAGUUGGUGUAAUUAAAUACCUAGUCAACCCAGAACAAUUCCAGCGGGUUUACAAGAGUUUGGAAUUCAAAGGCUCCUCACACUUGGAACUAACCAGCAACCCAAAAUCAGGCCAGGAGAUAGGGUACUUGUUAAAACAUGGAAUGAGGGAUCACCUGCCCAACAAUUACAACCCCAAUAGAAGGGACUUUUUUCAGUAAUACUGGCCACGUCUUCUGUGGUCAAAGUACUAGUAUUAGAUAGCUGGAUACAUCUUUCAAGGAUCAAACCAUCAAUACCAGAAGCUCCAGACCAGGAACCUGAAGUUCCCAUCAGCCAGUACACCUGUGAACCAGUGGAGGACCUGAAGUACCUGUUUAAAAGAUAGCCAAAAGAUAAGUAAAUGCCUACCAACUUUCUUUGGUGUCUUUGUUGCAUAGUUACUGUGGGCUGGAAAAUAGUAGCCAUUUUUAUCUUUGCAGUUUAAUUGCCUUCUUCCAAAUAGAUAAAAAUCACUUCCUUUGUAAUAAUUAAACAGAAUUUAAAAAAUACAUUUCUAUGACAAAUAUUCCUGAUGGCAUAAGUAUCCACCCCAAGGUUCCCAUUAAAUCUUUUAACCUAAAGUAUUUCCUCUCACCUAGAGAUCAUCGAGCUGUGUGACAAGGGUGCCAGCCACUCCAGGUGAAGACACCACCCCAGGCCAUCAAGGAUCUUCCCUACCUUCACUAAACAGAGCAGGGUGAAAGUUGUGUGAUCCCCAAUAGGUAGGGACUACACCCCAAGUCAGCAGGAAGCAGUUACAGAAGAAAGACCAUUGGUCCCUCUGCUUCCCAUAAAGAUUUAUGGGGAUCACAGCUUUCACGGGGGAGAUGAGGCAAGAGAAUAGGGCAUGCAGGCAGGGUACUUGAGGCCAAUCCACGCUGACUUCCUAGAACUGAAUUAAAUGAAAGCUCCUCAGCAAUGACAGGAAUGUGAAUGGCUUUGUAACUUCUUCCUCUCCAUUAAUGCUAUUUCCACUUUGUAACUUCACUUUCAUCCUCUCCAUUUACAUAGAUCACACACCAAGUAACAUCCUCUCCAUUUACAGUAGGGCGCAUUCCGAGUCAAUGACUCUGACUGCACUUCGUUCUCCUCAUUUACAUAGAACAUUCGCCAAGUAACCAAUGGGAAACCUCUAGAGUAUUGAAACUCCAGAAAAUUCCGUAAGUGGGGCUCUUGAGCGUCUACACUCGGGUCGCUCCCACACUGUGGCGUGUACUUUUAUUCUCAAUAAAUUCCCGCUUUUGCUUUCCUCGUUC
rnacentral:lncRNA from 1 species